rnacentral:rRNA from 1 species
AUUGAACGCUGGCGGCAUGCCUUACACAUGCAAGUCGAACGGCAGCACGGGAGCAAUCCUGGUGGCGAGUGGCGAACGGGUGAGUAAAGUAUCGGAACGUGCCCAGUCGUGGGGGAUAACGUAGCGAAAGUUACGCUAAUACCGCAUACGAUCUAUGGAUGAAAGCGGGGGAUCGCAAGACCUCGCGCGAUUGGAGCGGCCGAUAUCAGAUUAGGUAGUUGGUGGGGUAAAGGCUCACCAAGCCGACGAUCUGUAGCUGGUCUGAGAGGACGACCAGCCACACUGGGACUGAGACACGGCCCAGACUCCUACGGGAGGCAGCAGUGGGGAAUUUUGGACAAUGGGCAAAAGCCUGAUCCAGCCAUGCCGCGUGCAGGAUGAAGGCCUUCGGGUUGUAAACUGCUUUUGUACGGAACGAAAAGGUUUGGGCUAAUAAGCUGAGCUCAUGACGGUACCGUAAGAAUAAGCACCGGCUAACUACGUGCCAGCAGCCGCCGUAAUAC